UUCCCAAGUAGCUCAGUGGCAGAGCAGGUGACUGUUAAUCACUCGGUCGCAGGUUCAAAUCCUGCCUUGGGAGU
rnacentral:tRNA from 1 species